GGUAGGUAAGGCAAUCAAACACCUUAGCCACGCACAAACAUGAAACAGAGGCACUUUCUAAAAUCUAAAAUCAAAAACCAAAACCAUAAGGCGCUUCUCUCUCUGUAAUUCUAGAUUAUUCUCUGAAAAUUCAAACCAAUUCAACUCCCUCUGUCACUCCCGAUCUCUCACUCAACUGCAAGGUAGAAGCUUUACGCGACGUCGUUUUCCCGGCCUAAAUCUAGGGUUUUUACUUCAGAACUCAGUUCAACACGAUUCGAUCUUCGGAGGAUGGCAAGUGGGGUAAAUUUUGUUGAAAAGGGGGCUGGUUUGGUUAAUAUUCGAAGAGGGUGGCGGUGUCUGGGAUAGUAAUUAGGUCUUUUUUUUUAAGCAAGUAGUGUAAUAUAGUGAACUUACCUUAGGUGUAGAGUUUAUAUUAUUGGUUUCCUUGUUAUCUUCUCAUGCUUUUCUUAAAAGGAAAGAAUUAGAAAAUAGUAAAUUUUCCAUGCUGUAGUCUGUAGAUUGUUAAACUCCAUCGUUAGAUUGCAGAAUAUGCGGAAACAAAAUGAAGAGAACAAAAACUCAUUGUUGAAUUGGUUAAUUAGCCUUCUGCCCUUGCUGAAGCUUGUGUAUAGAUGCAAGCUGUGUUAAAUGAAUCUGGUCUUAAUUAAAGCUGAAUUGUCGGAUUCUGUUAUUUUUAAUUUGUAACUGAGUGUGAGCUAGUGAGCUUACCUUAGGUGGUAGAGUUUGUAUAAUUGCUUUCCUUGUUAUCUUCUCAUGCUUUUCUUAGAAGGAAAGAACGAGAAAAUAAUAAAUUUUCCACAGUAUAGGUUGUUAAACUCCAUCUUUAGGUAGCAGAAUAUGUGGAAACAAAAUGAAGAAAACAAUGAUUCAUUGUUGAAUUGGUUAAUUGGCUUGCUGCCCUUGUUGAAACUUGUGUUAUAGAUGCAUAUUGCUGUGUUCUAUGAAUCCUGUCUCAAUUUAAGCUAAAUUGUCUGAUUCUGUUAUUUUUAUUUUGUAACUUGAGUAUAAGAUAGUGAACUUACCAUAGGUGGUAGAGUUUAUAUUAUUCGUUUCCUUGUUAUCUUCUCACGCUUUCCUUAAAAGGAAAGAAUGGAGAAAAUAAUAAAUUUUCCACGGUGUAGGUUUUUAAACUCCAUCUUUAGGCUGCAGAAUAUUCGGAAACAAAAUGAAGAAAACAAUAACUCAAUGUGGAAUUGCUAUCGAGAUCUUUUUGGUAUAUCUAAAUCUUCUACUUUAUAAUAUCAUACAAGGACGGACAAGGAAUUUUCAAUAUUUGAUAGGCUCCUCCUUUUACAGAGCUAAUACUCAAUUCAUUUUGUUAAAGUACCCAUCGCACUUAGAUUGUCCAGCCAUCUUUUGCUUGUUGUGGUGAGGAUAUAUUCUAGAAAGUUGCUUGUUGUGGUGAGGAUAUAUUCUAGAAAGUUGCUUGUUGUGUUGAUUUGCCGGCGGAAGAAUCAACUGCGCCAUAUUACUCUAUCACAGAAAGUAAACUAACCGUACAGAGUUUAAACUCAUAUGAAUCCUUUGCGGGCAGCUGGAUAUUAGAGAACUUCGGAGUCUAUCCUUGAUGAUGAUGAUUUGUUGUAAACUAUUCUAGUUGGAAGAAAGUCUUCAAUUUUUAAAUUGGAGCCCACUCCACCUGCCUCUGAGAUAGCCUCCAGAAAAAGAACACGUACUGUACCUUAAAUUAGUGCUUUGAAGAGAAAGGUGGUGAUGGAUUUCACCAUGGUCUUGCAUGGCGAGCCUUGCUAGGAUGUCCCAUAGGCCUUAUCCUGAAGCCUUAGGCCCGACCGGUACAGCCUACAUAACCCCAAAAUUCAAACCAAUGAAACUGUGACAAGUAAGGCAAUCAAACCUUAGCUACACAAAAACAUGAAACAGAAGCACUUUCUAAAAUCUGAAAACGAAAACCAAAAUCAUAAGGCGCUUCUGUCUCUGUAAUUCUAGAUUAUUCUCUGAAAAUUCAAACCAAUUCGACUCCCUUUGUCACUCCCGAUCUCUCACUCAGCUGCAAGGUAGAAGCUUUACGCAAUGUCGUUUUCCUGGCCUAAAUCUAGGGUUUUUACUUCAGAACUUAGUUCAACAUGAUUCGAUCUUUAGAGGAUGGCAAGUCGGGUAAAUUUUGUUGAAAAGGGGGCCAGUUUGGUUAAUUGCGCAGAUAUUUGAAGAGGGCGGUGGUGUGUGGGAUAGCAAUUAGGGUUUUGUCUUUCUAGCAAGUAUGGGAGUUUGUCGAUUUUGGGUUUGGUAACUAGGGUUUUUGGAGGGUAUUAUUUGGGCGAAUUGUGUUGUUUUUUAAGUUAGGGUUGUGGGCUUAUUGGUAAUUUGGUGAGUUUUGUUCGGUUUAAUUUGAAUUCGUGUUUUGAAUAAUUUAGGGUUUUUUGGGAGUUCAAUUUCUGUGUGAAUUUCAAGUGUUUACUUUGGUUUUCUUAAGCUGAAGUGAUCCAGUGUUUGUAUCUGGAAGUCCACAAUUUGGGUUUAUAAUUUAUAAUAGAAAGUCGUUCUUUGGUGUAUGAUAAGUAGGGUAUUUUUGAGUUUGGGUUGAGAAAUGUUUUAUUCAGUUUAUUUUGGCAAAGAAAGGGCCUUUAAGGACUAUAUGGAUAGCUGUUCAUAAAGAGAAGAUGUUUAGAAAGAACCAGGUGGCCGAUACAGAUAUCAGAGCCUCAGUAGGUUGUUAAAUUUAGGUAGCAGAAUAUGUGGAACCAUAAUGAAGGAAACAGUGACUCAUUGUUGAAUUGGUUGAUUAGCUUGCUGCCCUUGCUGAAGCUAGUGUUAUCGAUGCAUGUUGCUGUGUUCUAUGAAUCCUGUCUUAAUUAAAGCUAUUGAGAUGUUUUUGGUAUAUCUAAAUCUUCUACUUUAUAAUAUCAUACAAAGAGAGAGAAGGAAUUUUCGAUAUUUGAUAGGCUCCCCUUAUGCAGAGCUAAUAAUUUGGUCAUUGGAAGCACAGCUUGUGAACCACAUGCGUCGCAUGUUUCUUCUGCAAUGUUCAGGCUUGAUCUCUAGUUCUGAUGCGUGUGAGCUCUCACCGUUGACAUAAUUAUACUCAGACAUUGUUGGCGGUUUAGAACCCUAUAAUCCCGUCGUUGUUUGCCUUCCCACGUGCCAUCGUUGAAAUAGUUGCUGUUGCUGGAUUUCUCUUCCUGAUCAGAUUUCAGUUCUUUUUUCUGCUAUUCUAUUUCUCUGUGCAACAUAUUCGUGUACCCUAUUGUUGUAGAAAUCAAUUGGUCAGACGUUUUGUUCUUGUUUCUUAUAUUUGGUUGUUUUAAGUGUUAUUAUGAUUGAUACUAAACCUAUAAUUAUGGUUGAUAUGGUUCUUGUGAUAUCAAAAAUCACUGAACACAAGUUUAAUGGGUCUAAUUAUCUAGAAUGAAGUAAAAUCGUUUGAUUGUAUUUGCUGCGCCUUGAGAAAGAUGAACACCUUAUACAGACCCUUUCUAUGGAUGGUACUAGACAAGCAUGACUGAUAAAUGAUGCUAGAUUAUUUUUGUAGAUUCGGAAUUUCAUUGAAAGUGAGGUAUUUAGUUUAAUUAACCAUUGUGAAUUGGUUAAAAAACUAAUUAAAUAUCUAGAUUUCUUGUACUUUGGAAGAGGGAAUCUUUUUGUAUAUAUGAGGUGUCCAAAACUUUCUAUUGUGUAGAAAAACAAGAUAGGACUAUCACAUCUUAUUUUAUGGACUUCAAAACAAUUUAUGAAGAACUUAAUAUAUUGUUACCUUUUAGUGCUGAUGUGAAAAUUCAACAAGUUCAACGGGGUUAGAUGACCAUCUUGAGCUUCCUAGCUGGUCUUACUUCUAAGUUCAAAACUGCAAAAUCUUAAAUAUUUACUAGUCUUAAGAUUUCAUCUUUGCAUGACACACUUACUAGGAUACUUCGCACAAAUAGCACCCCAUCAUUUCAAAGUAAUAGUGUUCUUGUUAGUCGGAGUAAUGCAUAGGAAACUGGAUGGUCAUAUAAUAAGAGUGGUAAUAGAGGAGGGGGAACUAACAACUAUGAUAAGGUUAUUGAUCGGAGUUAGGAGAUAGGAGGGAUUGUGUGCUACUACUAUCAUGAGCUGGGAAAUACAAAGCGCACUUGUAGAUAAUUACAUAAUCGGGCUUCAAAAUCUCAAUUAGCACAUAUUGUAGCCAUUAACACUGCAGCCAAUUCAUCAACAGGACAGACUAUUAUGAUUUCUGUAUAUGAGUAUGCCAAGUUCUCUCAGUAUCAGGAAUCAUUAGUCUUUAUCGACUUCUAUCAUUGUCAUUGCUGAGUCAGGUAAACCAAAUAUAUAUCUUAUUUCCUCAUUACUUAAAUGGGUCAUUGAUUUUGGUGUUACAAAUCAUAUAAAAAGCAAUCCUAAUCUUUUUUCUACUUUUUACUCACGUGCGUCCCUAUCUAGUGUUACGCUAGUAGAUGGAUCAACAUCAUAUGUUCUUGGUGUUAGCAUUGUUGAUCCAACACCAUUAAUUUUCUUGUCAUCUGUCUUGAGUCUACUAAAGUUUUCUUUCAAUUUAAUCUCUGUGAGUAAACUCACUCAUCCGUAAUUAUUGUGUCUAAUUUUUUCCUGAUAAUUGUUUAUUUUAGGAUCUUAUGACAAAGUAGAUUAUUGGUAGAAGACAUUAAUCUAGGGGUCUUUAUGUUUUUAAUAUAUGCAAGUGCCAAGAUCUAUUGUGUGUUCUAGUACCUUAACUCUAUUCGAAGCUUAUUGUCGGUUGGGACAUCCUUCUCUAUCUUUAUUGAAAACUCUAAGUCGUUAAUUUCGCCAUGUAUCUUCGUUAGAUUGUGAGUCGUGUCAAUUUGCUAAACAUCAUCAUCUGUCUUCAAGUUCUAGAGUCAAUAAACGAGCUAAUUCUCUUUUUGAGUUAGUUCAUUCAAAUGUUUAGGGCCCUUGUCCUAUUGUGUCUAAAAUUAGAUUUAAAUAUUUUAUUACUUUCGUUGAUGAUUAUUCUCGUACGACUUGACUUUAUUUAAUGAAAAAUCGUUCUGAACUGUUUUUUCAUUUUUGCGUAUUUUGUGCUAAAAUAAAAACACAAUUCAAUGUUUCUAUACAUACCUUACAUAGUGAUAAUGCUAAAGAAUAUUUUUAUGAAUCCUUUCAAUCGUAUAUGAUUCAAAAGAACAUUAUUCAUCAAUCCUUUUGUGUUGUCACGCCAUCUCAAAAUAGAGUAGCUGAAAGAAAAAAUAGACACUUUCUUGAAAUAAUUUGAGUACUCUUGUUUCAAAUACAAGUUUCCAAACAAUUUUGGGUUGAUGCUGUUUUCACAUCUUAUUUUCUGAUUAAUCGUAUACUUUCUUCGAUUUUUCAAGGUUAGAUUCUUUACAGUGUUCUCUUUUCAAAUAAAUUUCUGUUUUCUAUUGAACCUAAGAUAUUUGGUAGUGCCUUUUUUAUUCAUGAUAUUUGUCCUUAUGUCACAAAGUUAGAUCCGAAGUCUUUAAAAUGUGUUUUUCUUGGGUACUCUUGUCUUAAAAAAAGGUAUAGAUGUUUUUAUACUACUUUUAACAGAUAUCUUAUGUGAGCUGAUGUUACCUUUUUGGAGAACACUUUUUUCUUCUCCAUUUCUUUCUCUUACUUCAUUCAGAGGGAGGAUGAGGAUUUGUUGGUGUAUGCAGUUGCAUCUUCUCGCCUUCCGAAGGUUUCUUCGCUUACUCCUCCUAUAUCUAUUUGUUUUCCAGAGGUUUUUCCACCUGAAGAGUCUACACCUACCAGACCACCUUUUACCUUGGUCUAUUCCAAACAUCAAUAGCCUUCGGAUACAUGUCCUAGACCUAUCUCUUUGUCGUUAGAUCCAAUCCUUAGUGAUAUUGAUCUUCCGAUCGCUCUUCGAAAAGGUAAAAGACAGUAUACUUACCCAAUUUCUUCUUUUGUUUCUUAUGAUCACUUGUCCCUUAUUUCUUAUUUUUUUAUUGCAUCACUUGACUUUACUUCUAUUCCCAAAACUACUUAUGAAGCCUUAUCUCAUCCUGGUUGUAGUGAUGCUAUGAUGGAAGAAAUAAAUGCCUUAGAUGAUAAUAGUUCUUGGGACUUGGUAAAGCUACUUGCAGGAAAGAAAGCAAUUGGAUGCAAAUGGGUGUUUGCAGUUACGAUUAAUCUGAAUGGAUCAGUGGCUCGAUUUAAGACUCAUCUUGUUGUCAAAGGAUGUGCACAAACUUUUGGGGUGGAUUACUUUGACACUUUCUCACUUGUUGCUAAGUUGACAUUUGUCCAUUUAUUUAUUUCCAUGACAACUAUCUAUAAUUGAUCCUUACACCAGUUGGAUAUCAAGAAUUCUUACAUGGUGACAUUCAAAAGGAAGUUUACAUUGAGCAACCGCCUGAUUUUGUUGCUCAGAGAGAGUAUGGGAAGGUUUGUCAUCUUUGCAAAUCCUUGUAUGAUUUGAAACAAAGUUCUCAUGCUUGGUUUGAAAAAUUUAGCGAGGCUGUUCAAAAGUUUGACAUGAUAUAGAGCAAAUGUGAUCAUUCAGUUUUUUAUAGACAAUCUGAAGUUAAUAGUAUUUUUCUAGUUGUGUGUAUUGAUGAUAUUGUUAUUACUGGAAGCGAUACUGUGAGAAUUUCUUCUUUUAACUCAUUUCUUCAGACUCAGCUUCAAACAAAAGAUUUAGGGGUGUUGAAAUAUUUAUUGGGUAUUGAAGUGAUAAGAAGAAAGAAAGACAUCUUUCUCUCUCAAAGGAAUUAUGUGCUCGAUUUAUUAGUUGAGACAGAAAAAUUGGGAGCUAAACCAUGUAGCGCCCCAAUGAUUCAUAAUUUACAAUGUACAAAAGAUGGUGAGCUGUUUGAAAAACUUGAGAAAUAUAGAAGAGUGGUGAAAAAGUUGAAUUAUCUUACAGUGACUUGUCUUGAUAUUGCAUAUUCUGUCAGUGUUGUGAGUCAAUUUAUGUCUUCUCCGAUAGUUGAUUAUUAGGUAGCUUUAAAACAAAUUCUGUGCUGUUUAAAGAGAGCUCUAAACUUGGCAUAUUGUACGAAAAUCAUAAACAUACUCACAUUGAAUGCUUCUCAGAUGUAGAUUGGGCAGGUUUCAAGAUAGAUAGAAGAUCUACUACAGGGUACUAUGUAUUUAUUGGAGGGAAUUUGAUGUCUUGGAAAAGUAAUAAGCAAAGUGUUGUAUCCCGAUUUAGUGCAGAACCAAAAUAUAGAGCUAUGACACAGUCUGUGUGUGAAAUAAUGUGGGUUUAUCAAUUUUUGAUUGAAGUGGGUUUCUAGAUUUUAUUACCAACACAAUUGUGGUGUGAUAACCAAGUUGCUCACAUUUCUAAUUCUGUGUUUCAUGAAUGAAUUACGCAUAUUGAAAUUGACUGUCAUUUCGUUUGAGAAAAAAUUCAGCAAAAUUUUAUUUUUACAAGAUAUGUGAAGACUGGAGAACAGCUAGGAUAUUUUUACUAAGGCAAUAAAUGAGAUUCGAGUUGAUUGUAUUUGUAACAAACUGGACAUGAUUAACAUAUAUGCCUUAGCUUGAAAGGGAUUGUUACAUAAUCUGUAAAUAUGUAUAUUACUAUAUAAGGCCUGAUUAUACAAAUUGUAGGGCUUAAUUAUAGGAGUUUAAUAAUAAUAAAUGUUGAUUAUACGAUCGUAAUUAUAGGAAUAAAAUAUUUUUCUUUUUUAAUCUAGGAUUCUUAAUUUGUAUAUAUAUAGAUGUAUUUUAGUAUCAAUUGAUAUAUGAAUGAAAUAUCCUUCUCUUCAAUUUGGUUUGUUUGAAUAAUUAAAAAAAUAAUACCAUGUCUAUCAUUUUAAUGUGAAAUCUCAGUUCUGCUUCUUUAUUCCUGUUUCUUUAAACAACUGUUCUUUUAGUUGUCUAAUGCAUAAUUGGUUUUGUUCAUUUUGAGCGGACUCAAUUCUUUUUGUUAAAGUACCGAUUGCACUUGGAUCGUCCAGCCAUCUCUUGCUUGGUAUGGUGAGGAUAUAUUCUAGAAAGGUGAACUAACUUUUCAAUGGUUGUAGUGAGGCUUUGCUUAUGAUAAAGCAAGCUUUUUGCUCAACUGCAGUUGAUUUGCUGGCGGAAGAAUCAACUGCACCAUAUCACUCUAUCACAGAAAGUAAACUAACUGUAGAGAGUUCAAACUCAUCUGAAUCCUUUGGGGGCAGCUGGAUAUUAGAGAACUUCGGAGUCCAUUGCUGACUAUGAUCAUUUGUUAUAAACUAUUCUAGUUGGAAGAAAGUCUUCAAUUUUAAAAUUGAAGCCCUCUCCUACUGCCCCUGAGGUAGCCUCUAGAAAAGAACCAGUUCUGCACCCUAAACUAGUGCUUUGAUGAGAAAGGAGAUGAUGCAUGACACCAUGUUCUUGCAUGGUGGUUUUGGUGAGUAAAGAAGAAAGACAAAGAGAAGAGACAACUUGACAAGUAUUGGCUUGAAGCAAGGUAAGUGGAACUAUUCUUGGUAUGUUUUAUGUUUUAUGCCUUUGAUUCUUUUUCUGUAUAUUAUAAAUGAUGAUUUUGAAGUUGAGAAAUGGUGUUUUGCCAUUUGAGGAAUCUAUGUGUAUCAUUUUGUUCAUGGCAGAGAGUUAGAAAAUAUUUACAGUUUUGUCAUUAAUUUCAUACCACAUUUUGACUGUCA